rnacentral:rRNA from 1 species
GACGAACGCUGGCGGCGUGCUUAACACAUGCAAGUCGAACGGAAAGGCCCUGCUUUUGUGGGGUGCUCGAGUGGCGAACGGGUGAGUAACACGUGAGUAACCUGCCCUUGACUUUGGGAUAACUUCAGGAAACUGGGGCUAAUACCGGAUAGGAGCUCCUGCUGCAUGGUGGGGGUUGGAAAGUUUCGGCGGUUGGGGAUGGACUCGCGGCUUAUCAGCUUGUUGGUGGGGUAGUGGCUUACCAAGGCUUUGACGGGUAGCCGGCCUGAGAGGUUGACCGGCCACAUUGGGACUGAGAUACGGCCCAGACUCCUACGGGAGGCAGCAGUGGGGAAUAUUGCACAAUGGGCGGAAGCCUGAUGCAGCAACGCCGCGUGCGGGAUGACGGCCUUCGGGUUGUAAACCGCUUCCGCCUGUGACGAAGCGUGAGUGACGGUAAUGGGUAAAGAAGCACCGGCUAACUACGUG